AUUGAACGCUGGCGGCAUGCCUUACACAUGCAAGUCGAACGGCAGCACGGGUGCUUGCCCCUGGUGGCGAGUGGCGAACGGGUGAGUAAUACAUCGGAACAUGUCCUGUAGUGGGGGAUAGCCCGGCGAAAGCCGGAUUAAUACCGCAUACGAUCUACGGAUGAAAGCGGGGGACCUUCGGGCCUCGCGCUAUAGGGUUGGCCGAUGGCUGAUUAGCUAGUUGGUGGGGUAAAGGCCUACCAAGGCGACGAUCAGUAGCUGGUCUGAGAGGACGACCAGCCACACUGGGACUGAGACACGGCCCAGACCCCUACGGGAGGCAGCAGUGGGGAAUUUUGGACAAUGGGCGAAAGCCUGAUCCAGCAAUGCCGCGUGUGUGAAGAAGGCCUUCGGGUUGUAAAGCACUUUUGUCCGGAAAGAAAUCCUUGGCCCUAAUACGGUCGGGGGAUGACGGUACCGGAAGAAUAAGCACCGGCUAACUACGUG
rnacentral:rRNA from 1 species